GGAGGCAUUGCGAUGUACAGAGGGUUCUGGGAGAAUGGAACAAGCUGCCCAGUCCCGCUGUCAAAGCCCAGACUCCGGCUGCUUUCACAAAGUGUUCUAAUUCCACUUAUUUCUGGAAUCCUCUCCGCUUUCCUCCAGGAAAUUUUCGUGUUCACCCCAGGCCCCACCUCAGCAACGCAGAACAACCGGCAGAAGCAUUUAAACGAGAAGCAACACAAGCCCACCUGGAUCAAGAACUGUCGAAGAGCAGAAUGGGAACAUUCCAGGAUGCCCAGACUAAGGAUUUGUCACCAGAAGAGGGGCCUUCGUCGGACACGCCUGACAUCAUCGCCAAACGGAAGUUCAAACAGUCGCCGUCCGAUUCAGAUGACCAUUGAUCUCCAAGAUAUCUCAACAAGGUUUUGGAAAAAUGAAACCCUUUUUGUAAAGGGUAAAUGCUUUACAGCAAAGGAAAUGAAACAUGAUGUAUGCAGCAACUUGGAGGUUCUGCGUUGCCCUUUUGGUUAAUAAAUAGCUCACUAAGACAUUGAGUCUGAAUGUUUCAUCUUGUAUACCAGCUAAGCACCAGUACAUUUCUUCUCAAAAGAACAGUACCACCCCAGCCAGCUUUCUAUCAUACUCCUCAAGAUGAAGAAAGUCAGAUAUCCACUUCCUACCAGUACCACUCCCUUGCUCCCUUUUACUGACAUUUUCAAGCGUUUUUUGCUUCUUUCACGACAUGAUCUCUCACAGAGCUGGGAGUCAGCAGGUAUUGUGUGUCACCUGGAUAAGGUCCAUUUAGCGGGUCAGCACCGUAACAGACAGACACAGUCAGACACACUCAGUCACACUGCAGGAAUGCAAGAGGGGAGAGAAAGGCAAUGCCAGUGUCUCUCCUCUCGUUUCUGCAACAUCUCUACGGCAUCUCGUAAAAACCCAAACCAAGAAGGUAAAAUAGCAAGGGUGAAAGUAGGAAUAUAACAAAGGUAGUGUUAAACUGAUUAAUGACUGUCCAAAUUGCUCAUCACGUAAAAAGAACAGUAACAUGUUUAAAGUCAAUUUAAUUAUAUUAAUGUGAUAUUAACCCCCCCCCACUAUACUUUAGAUUAAUUGUAUGAUAAUUAGACCUUAAUCCUGAACAACAUACC
rnacentral:lncRNA from 1 species